rnacentral:rRNA from 1 species
UACGAAGGGGGCUAGCGUUGCUCGGAAUGACUGGGCGUAAAGGGCGCGUAGGCGGAUGGCACAGUCAGAUGUGAAAUUCCUGGGCUUAACCUGGGGGCUGCAUUUGAUACGUGUGAUCUAGAGUGAGGAAGAGGGUUGUGGAAUUCCCAGUGUAGAGGUGAAAUUCGUAGAUAUUGGGAAGAACACCGGUGGCGAAGGCGGCAACCUGGUCCGUUGACUGACGCUGAGGCGCGAAAGCGUGGGGAGCAAACAGG